AUGUCCGCCGGGCGCUCCUCCGCACCAGCCAGUGCACCUCUCCUUACUUCUGACAAGGCAGAGGGGAGAGUUGUAAUUAUAGUCAUGAUUUUACCGUGUGUGUUUUAUAUUGUACACGGUGUGGUCACGCUAUCAACAUUCUGAGCCAGCAGCUCUGAUGCUGAGUUGUUCAGUAGCAUCAUUCCCAUUUUACAGCCGAGGAAACUGAGCCACAGCAUGUGAGUGCCAAGCCCCGGGUCACUUACUUGAGGGGAGAGCUCAGUCUCCAACCUGUCAUGAAAUACUGUCUCUCCAAUUACACUUUAUUAUCAUGCUCAUCUCCGUAAAUCACCCUAUUGGAGAAGAGGAGGAUGGGGGGAGGGAGAAGAGAUUAACUUGGGACACCUAAAUGUGUGAUCAUGAGGUUGCAGGGCAGUGGUGAAAUGUCCAGUGAACCCAUGAGCUGGGCCACCUACUAAAUAGAGCUGGUUGCCUCAUUGGCAGAAUGUCACCAAAUUUUCUUGAUAAGGACGGGAUUCCAUUUGUAAAGUGAGAAUGAAACCUAACUCUUACAUGCAUAUGUCAACUGAACCCAGGCCACUGAGUCCUAUUUGCCUGGCAGGGUGUCUUUCCUGUUCAUGGGGUCUCCUUCCUGCAGUUUGGCACCAAGCAGCAUCCCCCAGGGUAGGCCUCAAGCGUCACUGACCAGCUUUGCUCUCUCCCCCUUUUGGGGCCCAGCGGCUCAGCUGAUGAGUUGCUCACCUUUGCAGGUAAUGGGAGGCUUCGAUAGGGAAGAGGGUGGCAUUGCUAAAGUGAGUGACACUGCACAUCUCUGACCUCAUAGACAGACUCCUGCCUAAUGCCAAGUGAGCCGCCGAGAGUGAGUUAAAUUUUUCAAUUUUGGGAAGGGGAACUAACAUGUGUGCCUGUCAUAGGCAGAGGUGGCCUCAUUUGCUCCUCCUGCCAAUUCUGGUGGAAUAGGCAUCAUCUGUAUCUCACCAAGGAGGCAGAUGAAGCUUAGAUACUGUGCCCGAAGCAGAGCUGGUACGUGGGGAAGCCGUAUUCAACUCAGGCCUGUUGAACACAGCCCAAGCUCUCCCAUCUAUCCAAGCGGGCAUCAAACAGGCCAAAAUUCAGUUGAAUUUAUCAACUUCUUAUAGAGAGGAAGAGGAGAGAUGAGCAUUUAUUGAGCACCUAACUUGUACGCUGCUCCUUCCAGGGACUAGGGAGAUACAAAGAUAAAUAUGAUGGCGUGCCCCCAUCUGGUGGGAGUGCAAACUCCAGGAGGAAGGAAGCGGGGGCCAGCAGAGUGGAUCUCGUAAGAUGAAUAAUUGCUCACAUUUGUAUGCAGGCUGUCUUCUAAGUGUUUUUCGGUAGUAUUUAUUUGGAUGUGGGUCCAUAGGACAAUUAUCGUCUUCAUUUUAUUGAUGAGGAAACCAAGACAGAGACAUUAAAGUAACUUGCCCAAGAUUUUACCAAAUUAGCAGAGUUGAGAUGCAAAUCCAGGCUGUCUGACUCCAGAGCUGCAUUUUUUUAAAAACCACUGUAGGAGAAUAGGCUAAUUAGUUUCUUUAUUACCCUACAUACUAAAAUUGUUUUACCCACCUCAGUGGGUAAAACAACCCUCAGUUGUCAUAGGGGAAAGUUUCUUAAAAAACAAACAAAAACUGAGUCUACCUCCUAACUUCUCUAAGUGUUCAGACAGUUGAAUUCUUGUUUCUGCAGCACCAACAAGCCUACAUUACCAACCCAUUACUCCACAGUGGGAAAUACAAACGUGGAGCACAGCACUUGCUGUGGUGUGUCCAGUCCCUGGUCUCUAAGUUGGGCCCCUAGCAUAGCCAGGAGAUUGCUUGGGAAGCACAGACCAGAGCAAGGAGACUUGUCAGUUGUGGAAGAAAGGUUUCUCAGCCACCAUCGUUCGAGGUUUCCUUUUCCUCUGAUGGCUUUGCCAGUAGAGGAAGAAUACUAAAAAUGAGUUCACCAUUCCUUCUUGAUUUUACAUCUACAAGUUCUGCUGCCUGAAGACAGAUGGCCUCAGCCUUCUCACAGUCACCUCAGUUGAAAAUGCCUCUGAUUUCUUCACGAGAGUAAUUUAAUCUGGUUGACAAAGCUGUGAGUAAUGGGAAGAUGUGUGACAAAAAAAGUGACGGCCUUCAGAAAGUCAGAAAGCGUUGGGAAUUGUCACUUUAAACACAUUCUAAUAUCACUCAUUCAGGUGAGGCUGAAAGAAGAAGAAUGGGAGGGUGAGAGAUUUUACUAUUAUACCAUCAUUGGAGUGAGAAGUGACCAAGUCAAGAAUAGUGACACUAACAUAUGAGUAGCUUGGGACCAAAAUAACAUAAAAACAUAAAAUAUACGAUGGCUAUUUGGAUGAUAUAUGUUUCUGAAUAAAGAAUCAGUCUUGUAUGUGGACCAGAAUCAUUAAAAAUAUUAACCUGGCUCCAGCCAAUUUCAGAAGAUGUGGUGAUGAAAUUGCCCACUACCUCUUGAGAUUGAAGAGUUCUUUCAGUGAUGGGUCCCCCAAGAAAUUACAGCUUUUCUUUAAAAUCAGAAAUACAGAAAUACUCAGGCUUUGUCAGCUAUGAAAGUGUGACAAGGCAAGUGAUUUAAGAUGGGGGAAAAACCACCUCUCCUCCACUAAAUCACAUUUCCUCUUGCCCUCAGAAGUUCCGUGUCACCUCACAGCACAGUCUCCUCAACCUGCCACAAUUUACUCACAUUCUCUGGCCCUUCCUGGUUUGUUUUAUUUAUUUAUUUAUUUAUUUAUUUAUUAUUUUUUGAGACAGAGUCUCACUCUGUCACCCAGGCUGGAGCGCAGUGGUGCGACCUUGGCUUACUGCAACCUCCGCUGCCUGGGUUCAAGUGAUUCUCCUGCCUCAGCCUCCUGAGUAGCUGGGGCUAUAGCCACACGCCACGAUGGCCAGCUAAUCUUUGUAUUUUUAGUAGAGACAGGGUUUUGCCAUGUUGGCCAGGCUGGUCUCGAACUCCUGACCUCAGGUGAUCCACCCACCUCGGCCUCCCAAAGUGCUGGGAUUACAGGUGUGAGCCAACGUGCCCAGGCCCCUUCCUGUUUUUUUGUGCACAUGUGGUGCUGUUUUUCUUCUAUGCCUUCAGAAACCCAGAUCGUUCAUAUGGUUGGGGAAAUUGGAAGUGUAUCCACUAAAUAAAGGACCGUAUGGCUUUUGUGCCCUGAUGCUGAACACUGGUGACAAGUUAAAGCCAAAGUGGAAAGUGUUACAAACCAAAAGCAAAACUCAGGCUGAGAUGUGGUGGGUGAGGUGCAGGUGAAUGAUUUCUCCGUGUGCUUGUUGGUGAUUCAUUAUAUAUUAUUUCUCAUAUAUAUUCAUUAUAUAUUAUAUAGGAUAAUCUGUCAAUAACUUCGGUCAGCAUCUUCAUUCUUCUCACUAUGUCUGCCUUUUUCAUACUGUAGUACUAUUUUAUUAUUUUUAUUUUAUUUUAUUUAUUAUUUUUUUGAGACAGUCUUGCCCUGUUGCCCAGGCUGGAGUGCAGUGGCACAAUCUGGGCUCACUGCAACCUCUGCCUCUAGGGUUGAAGCAAUUCUCCUGCCUCAGCCUCUUGAGCAGCUGGGAUUACAGGCACAUGCCACCAUGCCCAGCUAUUUUUUAUAUUUUUGGUAGAGAUGGGGUUUCACCAUGUUAGCUAGGCUGGUCUUAAACUCCUGACCUCAAGUGAUCUGCCCACCUUGGUCUCUCAAAGUGUUGGGAUUACAGGCAUGAGCCGCCGCUCCCAGUCUGUAGUAUUGUUUAAAAAAAUCAUUUAAAAUAGAUCAAAAGCAGACCAAAGUAUCUAGAAAUUAGCAACGGAGGCAGCUACAGUUGUCUUCAAGGAAGUCUUAUUUGCUAGUUCUUUGUAAAUUACAGGGGUUUUUUUCCCCAUUUGGAAAUUAUUCUGUUCCUGGUUACCUGCCUUUAUGCAUUCUUGUGUGUUGAUAUGAUUACAAAUGAUUUCAGUGGACAGCUAUUUUCCCCAGAUGCAGAACUAAUUAAGUUUAGUUGAAGAUUUUAAAAGGUUGUAAACUUCCUUUGAUCUUCAACUUUUAAGACUCCAAAUGCCAGUUCUGCAGCUUCUGUAAGCUGGAAAAAAUAUCCCCCCAAAUAAUAAGGAAAACAAUGUAUAAACAUUUUCCGAACUAUUCUAUCCACAAAGAAUUCCAUUUAUAAAUGGAAUACUCCCUUCUUUGUCUUUGCCUAGGAGCUUGAGGGAUAGCUGUUUGUAUUUGUACAUUUUCUGAAUUUCUACAGUUUACACUUGUUUAUGGUACAUUGGGGAGUUCAGAGUAACCAUUUGCAAAUGUUUGAAGAUAUUCAAAAGAAAAUAUUCCCCCUCCUCAGUUUUCCAGGGAAAUGACAUAGACUCUUUAAGUAAAAUAAUCAAUGGAAAAAAUGUGUACAAGGAGUAACCCUUUCAUCUCACUUUUUCCAUUCUCAAGGAACAACAGGUCCAUACAACUUUCCACCUUUGUGGCUCCCAAAUUUCUAAGUUUCAAAAACCAGAAAGAAAAUAUAAGACCCUUUUUCCUGGUCCCAAUUCCAUGAUACUACUCCAGGCUCAGCAGGGGGGACUUGACAUCUUAUUUUCUCAGGGAAAGCCGGAGGAGGCACCUGUAGUUUGGCUUUUUGGAGUUUAAUUGUUAGUCUGGUCAUGGAGCCACAGUCCUAGAAACAACUGUUCCAAGGCAAGGAGUUCACUUCAUUGGGGAAGCCAAAAGGGUGGAGGUCACAAAUAAGUUUUUUGCCAAUUUAGUUUCUCAAACUGAGAAGUUCAAGAGAGGAGGCUGUCUGGGAGGAGGUUGGGAAGUCAGUCCAUACAUUCGAAACAAUACUAUAGGUGCCUACUUUUAAAACAAGGAAAAGAAGGAAAACUGAGAGUGACAAAAGGAAAUCAGUAUGAAUGGGAUGUGCUCGGAUCCUGUGUCAGACUUGUGCUAUCUAAUGGUCCAGUACUUGACUACUGGGAAUAUUAAUUGGUGACAGUCCCUAAGUUAAGGGUUAGCUUGUCUGUUGGGAUGCAGUUGGCACAUAUAGUUCUAGGUAGAGGUACUUCAAAGAGCCAGAAAGAAGACACCAGGUCUGUGUCAUGGACACAUGUGAGUGGGAGGACCUGGGAGUGUGCUUCCUGUGAUCAUUUCAGACUUGUAGAGGAAAGUUUUCUGGAAUGAAUGGUGUCAAGAUUGGCCUGAGAUAUGUCCCAUUCAAUGCUGCUGGGACCAUGUUAACCCUUAUGACCAGGGACUUGUAGGGAAGGUUUUAAUGUACAAGCAUCCAACUUUUAUAUAUGAUGUCAAUCAGGUUAUGAUGGAAUAUGAAAUGACAUCUGUGACUGGAUAUUUAUUACUUUCAGACGUACCCAUAACCUUCCAUCUUCAGCAGGACUGGGACUAGAAUGAAGCAAAGGAAGGGCUUAGGGCAGAGACUUUGAGGAGGCACCCAUUCAGGGUCAUGCUAGUGCAGCACUGGUCCUGGCUCUGUCUCCAGAUCCAUAUGGCAGCUCCCUAAAGCUGGUCUCCUGGCCCCCUGGACUCGUCCCUGGAUGGCCUUCAGCAACUCCCCCUGAAAUUUCAUGGAAAGUUUUAUGUGCCUAUGCACAGAGGCAUUUUCAUGGGAGAAGACGUCCAUAGAUUUUGGCUCCAGAAAAAGUAUGCUCUAUAUCUCUGAAGGAUUAUCUUACCUUAUUAUGGAGCAAUAUCUGAGUUGAAAUUUUUCUUGUUUCUCUGAGGAAGCUGAAUUAAUGGAAAGUUUCUCUUAAAACUUAGAAUAUAUUGUUUGGCAAUUUCUGCUGUGGGCCUAAUAUUGCAGAAUCAAAGUUGGAGCUACAUCAUGUAGCACUUGCCUCAAUAAGAUUGCCUUAGUGACACAAUGCAAAAGGUUAUAGACUUUUCUUCAAGUUACCAUUUCCCACAAGGGCCUGUGAUGAAAGAAGAAAAGAGAAGCAAGAAAAGAAAUAAGCUAGAUACUUCCCCAGCACUUGGACCUUCAAAAUUUGUACGAUAUAGGGAGACACUGUUCUUCUGUGGAAAGAUCUUCUACCCUGCCACUGAGGCCAAGAAAGCAGAAUGGCCAGAGUCAGAGAGGUGGACAGGUCGGUGAACACCAGGGCAUUGAUGUGGCAGUGUCUGGGAGCGCUGCCCAUGCUCCCUAGCUCCCCAGUAUGCCUCUUUACUUGGAGAGACUGCACUUGGAAAGAGACGCGUUCGGCCAGCUAUUAACCAGCCGUUGCCCAGGAGGGCACUGGAAAUCAGUUCCCUGACUGGUUUCCAAUGAGUCACUCCCUUGCCGGCCUAAGCUGCUGCCUGUGCACCAUGUUCAAUCAUUUACACCUACCUUCAUGCAGACAAGUGCUGCAGAGGGGCAGAGAUGUCUGAGGACCAAAAUACACUGCACCGUGGAACACUUACCUCAUGUUGUGGAACACUUACCCUCACCCGAAUGCCCCGCCUUUUCCAGACUUUCCUGUCUAAGAGAUCGUGCCAAAGGGGCGGGGGUGGCCAUGCUGUUUUCUUUUACCAUGUCCUGCACAACUUAUUUUGUAUCCUUCAGUUGCCGUUUUAAGUGCAUAGCACUUUCUAUGUGGAUGGAUGUUAAGGCAAUGCAUUCUGCAUGUGUAAACUUUUUCUUAGGGCCUCAAAGGGCAUAAACGAAAUUCAUUCAGAGAAAGAAAGAAAUUAGCUUUAGAAAAUAAACAAUUUAGCACUGGCAUCGUUUAACAGGGUCCCAUUCUCAAGGAAAUGGGGUAAAUGCCAUUUCAGACACCAGCUCUGAAUACUAACUGCAGAGAGUUCUUCUCCAGAUUUGUGGAUUUCCACAGCACAGAAAAAAAAAUAGGGUGGGGUCAGGAUUGGGAACAUGAGACCAUCAACAGGGAGGGGAAGUACACACACAUGCACAAAACUUAUUUCAAGGGUCAUCGAAAAGAUUCUAGUGAAAAAUGACUGGAGCAAAAGCAAAUGACAAUAACAAAAACUUGGAAUUAUUCUCUAAUGCUUUAAAAUAGUCCCAAGUGUACUACAUAGUUUAAAAUUGGAAAUCAGUCAAGUUACCUAACUCUGCCACUCCUUGGACUGAAUUAAUGAUCAUAAGCAAAAAAUGCUUGUGCAAUUGUACUGUGCGGUCCAGAUGUACAGCCCUGAGUAGAGAGAUGGGGGCAGAGCAGACCUGGCUUUCCAGGUAGCCAAGGGGUCAGGGCUGGGGCAAAUCAAAACUUCCAGUGCUCCCAGUCUCAUUCCCAUCCAGAUAUUUGGCUGCACCAGCACUAGUUGUCUCAUCAUUUUCCCCUCUGAACCUCUGGUUUGUUGUGUGUCUUUGAUAUAGUAAGCUGUGUUUUGUUUUGGGUAAAAAGGGAAGUAAGAAUGUGACUGACAGUAUUUAAAGAACAAAAGGGAGAAAUGCUUCAUGAAUUCAUUUGAUAUGGAACAUUGACCUAACAUCCAAAAAAAUACAACUAAAAAGUAGAUCUUUCCCUCAUUUGCAUGGCUUAUUUCCCCAGACAUGUUUUUGGUAUUGAAAAUGAAUGGUAUUCCCAUACAACAUGUGUCUCAAUUUGUAAUGAUAUCCUCCUUGCAGCUGGCUUAGUUCUGCAAGUGUUUCUAAAAUGUUACUGUCUUAAAUUUGAACCAACCUACAAUAACAAAUUAUCUAGAAGCAAAGUGGCUAAACGGCAUUUGGUGAGAGAAGGGGAAACCCUAUAUUUCAUCCUUCAACUCUUGUUUUAGAAAUUCAGACUGUAACAUGAUCUUUUUCUAAAGAAAUCUACACACACACACUUUAAAAAUUGUGCAGCUUGGGUGUUGUGGGAGCAAGAAUGAUCAGGUUUAAGUUUCUCUGCAAAGCUCUGCAUCCCAUCAACAAGCCCUUUUGAUAUUUUAAACCCGUAUUUAGAGUAAUUUCAAGAUAUUUGGAGCACAUGUGGUUAAAUGUAAAACUUUGUCAUUAUAAUGUGUUAGAUGCUUAUACUUUAAAUAUUUAUAAGCUUUUAUUUAUUUAUUUAUUUUUAUUUUUUUCUGAGAUGGAGUUUCACUCUGUUGCCCGGCUGGAGUGCAGUGGCGCGAUCUCUGCCCACUAUAACCUCUGCCUUCUGGGUUCAAGCAAUUCUCCUGCCUCAGCCUCCCAAGUAGCUGGGAUUACAGGCACGCACCACCAUGUCCAGCUAAUUUUUUUUUGUAUUUUUAGUAGAGAUGGGGUUUCACCCUGUUGGCUAGAAUGGUCUCCAUCUCCUGACCUCGUGAUCCACCCGUCUAGGCCUCCCAAAGUGCUGGGAUUACAGGUAUGAGCCACCAUGCCCAGCCUUUAUAAGCCAUUUUUAAGUAAUUUACCCAAAAGCUUUCUCCCACUAGAAUAAUAUAAUUGAGUAGUAUCUGAGCAUCAUUAUAGAAGAUACAAGAUGAAGUUGCUGCAGCAUGCAUUCACAUUCUUCUUGCUUUUCUGGUUUUAAUUCAAAUGUCAUUUUUAGUAGAAUCAGCUUAUUUUAUUAUUUUAAAAAUGUAUUAAAAAAUCAUAAACAAGAUUGGUUGUCUGUGAUUUAAAACAAAGAAAUUCCCCAGCACUCAAAAGCUAAAGUGUUCUAACCUGAACCGUAUUGAGUCCCACACGUGAGCGUGGUGGCUCACUCCUGUAAUCCCAGCACUUUGGGAGGCCAAGGCGGGUGGAUCAGACUUAGGUCAGGAGUUCAAGACCAGCCUGGCCAACAUGGGGAAACCCUGUCUCUACUAAAAAUAUAAAAAAUUAGCUGGACAUGAUGGCGCAUGGCUGUAGUCCCAGCUACUUGGGAGGCUGAGGCAUGAGAACAGCUUGAACCUGAGAGACAGAGGUUGCAGUGAGCCGAAUUCGUGCCACUGCACUCCAGCCUGGGCGACACAGUGAGACUCCAUCUCAAAACAAAAAACAAACAAAAAACUUCCCAUUAGAGUGUUGGAUCUCAGUCUGUGUCCAAAUGAACUUAAAGUGUCAUAUUGUUCCUCUGAAAUGUCUUAGGGACAAUUUAUUGGUGGUUGGAUUGAAUUCUUUACUAUUUGCCUUCAGCCAUCUUGGAAGCUAAGACAUAGGAUCCUGUCUUUAUCAUAGGUAGCCUGUUUGUGCGCUUAAUAUGAAAAAGAGGAGGGGGAAACCCUUUUUCCAAACGCAGAAUCCAUUUAAGCUUUGGAGGUUAUAAAUUUCAAAGUGAUCACAGGCCCCUGGGGCUCACACUCUUUUAUGGCUGGCAAAAUACAACUUUCUGGUAAGAAUGGGGAAAAGAAGGCUUUAAAAGGCUCAUAAACUUGCUUGGACAUCUAAUAGCUCUUACCAAACAGCAUUCUCAUGAGUUAAGUGUAAAUGAGUCAGAAACAUAUAGAUCAAAUUUCUUUUAAAAUACACAUGGGUUUGAAAAUUAAGGCCAAAGUGCUUGGCAAAAUAAGUUUUGGUUUUAUCCAAACCCAAAUGUUGAAAAAAUAAUUCUAAGAUUUGCCAAACCAAAAAUACAUGCAGAUUUCUUCAAUCCUCCCAUUAAAUAAGAUGGCAUCAUAAACAUGGGACUUAGUGGCUAUUUUCAUAAUCCCCAAGGUUUAGGCAACAUGAACCUUAUAUAUUGAUUGAAAGACUAUGAAAAAUUUUUGGUGGAAAAACAUUAUAACCUUGCAAAUGAAGAUGAGGGCUACUGGUUCAGGGUUCUAAUCCUGAUUUUGACAGCACUUCUCACUGUCCGAUCAGGUGAUCAACUUGUCCUUUGUCUUAGCUCUGGGUGUGUGUGUGUGUGUGCAUGUGUGUGUGGCCUAUGCAUAGCAAUAAUAACUUUUAAAAUCCUAUUUUUGGAUUUUAUAAAUCCUAAAUGUAUACUUAAUUCAUAUAUUACAAUCUGCGAAACUUAAUAACUCCUCAUCAUAUCCAAACAGAGGGAAGCAGUCCCCUUUUGCUCAUUCAUAGUUCAGAGAUAGUCUUCAUUUAUUUCCCUAGAGGGUAAAACAUAUCCAUUUUGCACUAACAAUAUCUAAUGCUGACUUUGCUCAGGUCUGUGUUAUUAAAAGACGAGAGAGAGAGAGGGAAAGAGAGAAAAGAAAAAAAGUAGGGGAGGGUGUGUGGCAGGAGUCCUUGACUUGAUUUGAAGAACUAAUAACCUACUGAGAGACAAAAAAAAAAGCCAAGGUCACUUUUACAAGCAACAUGCAGAACCUGCAAACCGAUGUGACACUGCAGACAGUAGGCUUCAGCAAGAGCAGGGACCGGGUCCAGUUCACUCAUUGUUGUAACCAAGUGCCUAGCACAGGGGCUGGAAGAAUGAGCACACAAGUAUUCAGUGAUCACAUGAAUGAAAGCAUCUCCGUAGAGGAACAGCUAAUGAAGCUGUCUUGAUGUAGUGCCUUCUGGUCGAUGAAUUCUGAAUUCUGAACCUGAGGAGGGAUGUGGGCUGGCGAUCAGGGGUGGAGAAAUGAGGGGUGAAGUAGCAUAUUAAAAGGCACAGAAAAGAGCAAGCUGUAUUAGGGAUGACCUUCCGGUUCACUUGGCUGGAACAAAGGGCUUGACCACAGAGGGUGAGAAGCAUGAGGCUGGAGGAGAGUGGGAAGGUGGUAGAACAGGAGUUUGGGGAAUUUGUACUCAAUACAUUGGGCAACGUCACUGUGGCCUCAAGCACAAGAAUGACAAGAUGAAAUCUGUGUUUGAGGAAAAUUACUUGAGCAGCUGUUUGUAGACUGAAAGACUGGCAUUGCUAAAGCUGAUGGUUGCAUUCUGAUGGCAGGCUAAUUGCCAGCAGUUGAUUCUAAACAUUGCAGAACUUCAUCGCUGGAGUGCAAGGGACAUGCGCUGCCAGAUCUAUGGGUUAAGUAUGGAAAGCCAUUGUCUCUGGACAGUGAGAAGAACUUUCUUUGUGCUAAGUGGGCCUAAGGAAAUGUCACAAUGCACGGUGGAAGGAAAUCUCACAAUCGACAGACCAUUCCAGGAUCUAAAGAAGGAAGAUGCUGGCUUGGCUCCAGAUGGCCACAGAAACAGAGGCCCCAGCCUUUUGACCAACCAGCGGCUCUGAGCCUUAAGCCAGCAGGGAAGGGCAGAUGUGGGCUGCUGUUUCAUGCGUGCACAGAGGCAGGCCCUGGCUCUUGCAGCAGCGGACUUCAUGAAUGCGGAAUGUGGAGGUUACACAGCGAUGCCUAGACUGUCUGUCCUUAGACCGAAGGGCAGCAGAAAGGCUCAGGGGGCUUGCUCUAUAUUCCUUAGACAUCUCCAGAGAUUUUCUCAGAAUCAGAAUCAGAUCCUCCCAUGGCCUGCGGCUACUUUUAAGAAAGUUUGGCAACCUUUUGGAUAUGUCCUCUUCUCUUUUUUGACUUUCCAGGCUGUAAACCUUCAGAAGCUUCCACAUGUGGUGCCAGUGGGCUCCUGGUGGUGAAGGAAGGUGGCAGUGUGGUUUAGUGGAAAAGAAUAUCUGCUCUGGAGUUGGGCCAGCUUGGGUUCGUAUCCCAGCAGAGACACUUACCAGGAACGUUCACUCACAGGGUACGCUCAUGGAGAGAGGGCGCAGAGCAAACCAUGUCACGCCAUCCAAUGACACCAGCUGGUCAGCUCACCACCCCCUCUGGCUAAAACUCAAGCAAAUAAAGCCGCUUCCUGUCAUUAAGCAUCUCAGAGGAAGCAGCCCUCCCUCGAUGGCCUCUAGCCCAGAGAAGCCCGCGCGUCUUGGACCCACCAAGCAGGCCCAGCCUUCCUGCUGCCACCAUCUCUGCUUCUCCCCAGAGGAACUUAGGGAUUCCACCCCUGGCUUUUAAAAAAAACGAAAUACCGACAAGCCACAAGGACCAAUGUAGGUAUUCUCCCCGCCCCAUCUUCAAGGCUCAGCGACUGAGGCUGGAAGAUGAUAUGGAUUGGAACACAAAAAAUCUUUUUUUAAUCUUUUUAAAAACUGCUGUGGUUUUGCUGCUACACUAAGAAUUGUGAUUUGCAUUGUACGGUUUUGGACCUAUAUUGUUCACGUUUUGAUGGCGGAGAGGGGUGGUCCUGGAGGCCCAAUGCUUCAGAGUCAUCUCUGUCCUGCCCGGGAUGCACUUUUAAAUGAAGAGUUAGAAUAUUUUAUUGGCUAAUAUACUUUUCUUGUUAUUUUUACAAAGGCCACCUUUAUCCUUUUUGAUGCCAUAUUUUCAGUGUUACACUUUUAUGGCUUUUAAUUUGCGAUUUGACAGAUGUAAGAAGCAGCAUGAAUAGUUUAUACUGUGGUUUUUCAGAGACUGAAUGCCAAGAGAACUCGGUAAAUGUUUAUUCUUCUCAGCUUUCUCUUUAAAUUCCCCUAAAUAGCGCCCCAUUUGGGAACAGAGCAAGAGUGUUGAACUGAAGACCAAAAUGCCCUCAAGGUGUAAAAUAAUCCGAGGGGGAAUAUUUGCUGGGCGUCAGGAAAGACUCGGAUGAAAUUUCAACCCUGAUGGUUUUCGGUGAUCCAGGAAGUCAGUGAGACAAUCUCUCUAUAUGCAGAGCCCUUUCAUGAUAAUUAGAAUGGUAUGGACAAACCAAUGAAAACAAGAGGGAAAGUGAGAAAGAUCACCCAUGAUUCUGUUUCACUGUUUGCUUUCUCCUGUCAUGGUUAAGAGAAAUGUGCAAUUCGAUCCUCAAUCAGUGGGUGGAGGAUAACAGGGUAGAUUCACUUGUGUGCACUUGUACAGUUGUAGCUGCGAGUCCAGAAGUCCUCUAGAGCAUGUGUACUGGCACUGAGUUGGUGAGACAGUUGUGGAGUAUCCCAUUCUGAUGAGUACAGAAAAAAAAAAAAAAGAAAAAGACAAGAAGAGAAAAAAUUAAGAAAAAAAUCAAAAAAGGAAGAAAACUAAAAAAAAAAAAAAAAUCAAAUCACCUUGUGAUUCAGUGUAUCUGUUUACUAACUCAAAUAAAGCAAUUGUUCCCUCUGGAGGGGUCCAGGUGCCCCCGCCCCACAAGGCCGCGGAGCCUCAGCAGGAGGGGUGGCGAGUCGCGGGUGGGCAGGGCCAGGACGGUGUGGCGCCAGCCUUGAAGCACCACGGCCCGAGGAUGCGGUGUACAUACUGUAUUUCUAGAUUCUCCUUUGUACAGAGUCACUUCACAAGUCAAGCUACUGUUUUACAGGUGCUCCUUAUUUAUUAGAGCUGUGAGAGCUUGGGGGACACACCUGGCGAGCAAGCUCGCUUUUUAAAAAUGAAAUUUGGGGGCAGGGGAAGGGGAGGCGGGAGGGAGGGGAAGCUCGCAAGCCCGGGGAGAGAUUUAUAAAAGUAAACAGAAGAAAACCUUCCAGCAACAAAUUAAAAAAUAAUAACAAAUCAACCCCAGCACCAAACCCACCCAGGCAGGAAGAAGCCGCCCCUCCUCUGGGGCCAUAUUUUUCUGCUGGGUCACAACAUUCUCCUCUCCCUGACUGGUGUCAGAUUCAUCAAACAAAAAAUAAAUCUCGAAGGAAAAAAAUGCACUUA